GACGAACGCUGGCGGCGUGCUUAACACAUGCAAGUCGAACGGAAAGGCCCUGCUUUUGUGGGGUGCUCGAGUGGCGAACGGGUGAGUAACACGUGAGUAACCUGCCCUUGACUUUGGGAUAACUUCAGGAAACUGGGGCUAAUACCGGAUAGGAGCUCCUGCUGCAUGGUGGGGGUUGGAAAGUUUCGGCGGUUGGGGAUGGACUCGCGGCUUAUCAGCUUGUUGGUGGGGUAGUGGCUUACCAAGGCUUUGACGGGUAGCCGGCCUGAGAGGGUGACCGGCCACAUUGGGACUGCGGUACGGCCCAGACUGCUACGGGAGGCAGCAGUGGGGAAUAUUGCAGAAUGGGCGGAAGCCUGAUGCAGCAACGCCGCGUGCGGGAUGACGGCCUUCGGGUUGUAAACCGCUUUCGCCUGUGACGAAGCGUGAGUGACGGUAAUGGGUAAAGAAGCACCGGCUAACUACGUG
rnacentral:rRNA from 1 species